rnacentral:rRNA from 1 species
UGGGGAAUUUUGCACAAUGGGGGAAACCCUGAUGCAGCGACGCCGCGUGAUUUAGAAGGCCUUCGGGUUGUAAAAAUCUUUUCUAUGGGAAGAAAAUGACAGUACCAUAGGAAUAAGGACCGGCUAAUUACGUGCCAGCAGCCGCGGUAAUACGUAAGGUCCGAGCGUUUUCCGGAAUCAUUGGGCGUAAAGGGUACGUAGGCGGGUAAGCAAGUUAGAAGUGAAAUCCUAUAGCUCAACUAUAGUAAGCUUUUAAAACUGCUCAUCUCGAGGUAUGGAAGGGAAAGUGGAAUUCUUAGUGUAGCGGUGAAAUGCGCAGAUAUUAGGAGGAAUACCGGUAGCGAAGGCGACUUUCUGGCCAUAACCUGACGCUGAGGUACGAAAGCGUGGGUAGCAAACAGG